GAUUAAGACAACAAAGGCCUCUUAUGGGCUAAGGCCUCUUAGGACUUAGUCCCCUGAGAGCUGACACGGCUGGACAAAGAGUGUGCUGUUUGUAACUGUGUGUUUUGGAUCCCCAGUCUAUUUGACUAACCACCAAGGUACACCCUGGUUCUCUUCAUCAAGUUACUGAUCAGCACAGCACAUACUGGGCAACCAGAACAGAUGCUGGCAAUUUGACCAUACAAGUACGUACCAGAUGAAUACCAGCCAUGAUCACAUCACCAAAUGCAUUCCAGGCAACUGAAACACAGAAAAGUUAAUUGACCUGUCCAAGCUAGUUCCUGACCCAGUACUAGGAGGGAGAUUGUCUGACUCCUAUCCAGGAUGUUUAUCAAUAGACUUCAAGCAUUAUUCUAGAAGCAUGAUGUAGCUGAUAAAAUUACUCAUCCAACAGUCACUUACCAAGAACCUGCUAUGUGUCAGGCAAUGUGAGAUGCAAAGACUAAGUACAGUCUCUUCCCUCAAAGGCCUACAACUUGGAGAAACUAUGGAAGCAAAAAUCUGCUUCC